rnacentral:lncRNA from 1 species
GCCGCUUUCCUCUUCCGCAUACAUGGCCGAACCACCACCGCCAAGCUCUUCGUCGUUGCUGUGGCCACCGGCCUCCCCUCUUCGUGCUAGCAUGAGCAGAAGAACCACCACAUCGCGCUGGUCCUCUCCACCCCUUGGGUUCGUCGCCACGCCGCCCCAACUCGUCGCCAUCAUCCCGUCUUCGUCCUCAGUGCCCGGAGCUACUCGUCGCCGAUUCGCUGCGAUCAAGUCAUCCCCGGCCUCACCGUCCCCUACUCUGCAACCAUUGUGAGCCCCCGCACCUUUCCCCCUUAUACUCGCCGUUUCUUUCGUCCUCUAGGGCGUAGCUCCGCCAUGACCGCAAGCUCCCUGCCUCUGGCCCUGUCGUCGUCGUGGAGAGCGCAUGACCUGGGCCAAAUCGAGCACACAAGUGUGCUCGUAGUGGUCCGUAGACGCCACCUAGCUGCUUCACUUGCUCGAAUUCGAGCCGGAGCACCACACCCGCGCACAUCCGAGCUCCAGCCCCCGCUCUGCUUGUCGUUGCCGUUGCCACCAGCCACCUCCGGCCAACCCGUCGCUACUAGCGCCACCGGCGCCUUGUGCGUGCGCCGGCCGUGCCAUGCCUCCCUCCAGUGUGCAUGUUGCUGCUACUGCCUCGCGCCCGGCCUAGUCGCCCUUCCACUGCCGACGAUGUCUGCGCGCGCGCCUCGCCGCACCCGCCGGAGACCGCCCUUGCCCGCACGCCUCCUUCCCCGCGCUCACCCCCUGCGCAUGUGGCCGCGCCCCCAGUCGCCUCCAGUUGCUUUUGCCGCCACGCCAGCCGCUGUCGUCGGCUGCUGGUGCUGCGCCCGCGCCGACCGCCCCAUCCCUCCGGUCGCGCCGCCUGCUUCCUCUACGGGCCACUGCUGCCACUAGCCCCGCCUGCCAUCGCUUGCCUCAGGUCCGUCGCACCACGCUGCCGCUAGCGCCCCGCCGCUCCUCCCGCAUGCUCGUGGCCGUCCGCCCCCUGCUCGCUAGCUCGAGCCCACGCGAGGCCUCGCGCCGACAGCCGCCGGCGCCCCGUGCUGCUGGCCUCUGUUCGCCGGGCCGACCGGGCUGCUGCAUAAUGGGAAAGGGGCUAAUCCCCCUUAAUACUACCCCUCCUAAUUAGAGUACGAGAGCUGGACCCCACCUUGUUAAAUUAAACCUAGUUAAAGAAAUUAAAAUUAAAAUAACACAUGUGGCACUGACAUGCGGGUCCCGCCUGCACUAUUCACCCUAUUGACCAGUCAUUGUUGACUGGGUCAACUGGACCAUCUGACCCCACCUGUCAGCUCGGUGGUCCAUUGUGGGUGCACUGCACCGGGUGCACUUAGUGUUUGUAUUGUGAUUUCGAUUGAAAAUUAAAUCCAGAAAUUCCUGAAAAUUGAUAAAACUUUGGAAAAUCAUAUAAAAUAAUCCAUAACUCGGAUGGAAAUACUUUGUACAUGAAAUUUGCUCAGGACGACGAGACGAAUCCGGAUACGCAGCCCGUUCGUCCGCCACACAUCCCUAGCAUAGCGAACUCGCAACUUUCCUCCUCCGGUUCACUUGUCCGAAAACGCGAAACACCGGGGAUACUUUCCCGGAUGUUUUUCCCCCUUCGCCGGUAUCACCUCCUACCGCGUUAGGGCACUCCUAGAACCGUUACUUGACAUGUCAUGCAUCGUUAUGCAUCUGUUUGCAUUGUAUUCAUUGUUUCUUCCCCCUCUUCUCUCCGGUAGACUACGAGACUGACGCCGCUGCUGAUGCCCCGAUCGACUACGUUGUUGACGACCCCUACUUGCCAGAGCAACCAGGCAAGCCCCCCUUGAUCACCAGAUAUCGCCUAUUCCUUCUCUCUACAGCUUGCAUUAGAUUAGUGUAGCAUGUUACUGCUUUCGGUUAAUCCUAUAUUGCUGCAUAGCCUAUCAUUGUUGCCACAGUUAUUACCCUUACCUGCAAUCCUAAAUGCUUAGUAUAGGAUGCUAGUUUCCAUCAGUGGCCCUACAUUCUUGUCCGUCUGCCAUGCUAUACUACUGGGCCGUGAUCACUUCGGGAGGUGAUCACGGGCAUAUGCUAUAUACUUUAUACGGUUACAUUACUUAUGAUACUGUUCGGAGAUGGGGGUGAAGGGGCAGGUGGCUCCAUCCCGGUAGAGGUGGGCCUGGGUUCCCGACGGCCCCCAACUGUUACUUUAUGGCGGAGCGACAGGGCAGGUUGAGACCACCUAGGAGAGAGGUGGGCCUGGCCCUGGUCGGCGUCCGCGGUUACUUCAUAAUAACACGCUUAAUGAGAUCUUGGUAUUUGAUCUGAGUUGGGUCGUUGACCUUAUACGCACUAACCGCCACGUGGGACAAGAUAUGGGCAACCGGCGUCGUGGCAUCAGCCGAAGCCUUCAUGACGUCAGCGACUGAGCAGCGCGCGACGGAUUGGACUGGAACGCCUGCUCUUGUAUUAGGGAGGCUAGGUCUGCUUCCGGCCGCCCACGCGACGUGCAGGUGUGCAAUGGGCGAUGGGUCCAGACCCCUGCGCCAUAGGAUUUAGACCGGCGUGCUGACCUCUCUGUUGUGCCUAGGUAGGGCUGCGACGUGUUGAUCUUUCGAGGCUGGGCAUGACCCAGGAAAGUGUGUCCGGCCAAAGGGGAUCGAGCGUGUUGGGUAAUGUGGUGCACCCCUGCAGGGAAGUUUAUCUAUUCGAAUAGUCGUGAUCCUCGGUAACAGGACGACUUGAAGUUGUACCUUGACCUUAUGACAACUAGAACCGGAUACUUAAUAAAACACACCCUUCCAAGUGCCAGAUAUAACCCGGUGAUUGCUCUCACACAUGGCGACGAGGGGAGGAUCGCCGGGUAGGUUUAUGCUAUGCGAUGAUACUUGGUGAACUUGCCAUCUACUCUCUUCUACAUGCUGCAAGAUGGAGGCUGCCAGAAGCGUAGUCUUCGACAGGACCUGCAGUUCAGUCCACCGAUAUUGCCCCUUUACACAGAUACCCAUGCAUAAGUAGUGUAGAUCCUUGUUGCGAGUACUUUGGAUGAGUACUCACGGUUGAUUUUCUCCCUCUUUUCCCCCUUUCCAUUCUACCUGGUUGUCGCAACCAGAUGCUGGAGCCUAGGAGCCAAACGCCACCGUCGACGAUGACUCCUACUACACCGGAGGUGCUUACUACUACGUGGAGGCCGCCGACGACCAGGAGUAGUUUAGGAGGAUCCCAGGCAGGAGGCCUGCGCCUCUUUCGAUCUGUAUCCCAGUUUGUGCUAGCCAUCUUAUGGCAUCUUGUUUAACUUAUGUCUGUACUCAGAUAUUGUUGCUUCUGCUGACUCAUCUAUGAUCGAGCACUUGUAUUCGAGCCCUCGAGGCCCUUGGCUUGUAUUAUGAUGCUUGUAUGACUUAUUUAUGUUUUAGAGUUGUGUUGUGAUAUCUUCCCGUGAGUCCCUGAUCUUGAUCGUACACGUUUGCGUGCAUGACCAGUGUACGAUUGAAUCGGGGGCGUCACAAGUUGGUAUCAGAGCCGACUGCCUGUAGGAAUCCCCCUUCCACACUCCUUGGCCGAAGUCGAGUGUAGACUUUACAAAACUUUUACUAACAUGGAUGUGCGGCCCAUGGGCCCACGUUGCCAUUGGGUGGUAUUAGGAUAUUUUAUUCCUCGUCUAUACUCUGGGAUUCUAAUCUCUCUUCUAUUCAGGUUAAAUGAUUUUCUAAAAAUCUAACUUUAGGUUCUCGAAAACACUUUCUCCCGGAGAGCCCCUUCAGUCCAGAUGAUCGCCGGCUGCACCAGAAGAUUUCAAAGUUACUCUCCGAUAUUCUCUCAAGACUUUGUGCCCGUUGCUUUUGCAAUUCCCUACCACCUAAAAUAUCCCUAUGGAUAAAUACUAACACCCAUCGUUCUUACUUUUAUUCCCAGUUGAUCUUGUUAUUACAAGAUACCCCGAAAUUCUCUCUAUUGUUCUGGAAGUACUUUGUGCUUACUGCCUUGCAGUUCCUUGCCAUAUGAAUGAGCCUGCGGAUAAUUUCUCGCACUUACCGAGUAUCCACUCAUCCCAAGUUGAUUCAUGUGUUAUGCAACAGUCUUCGACAUACCAUUCGAUCUUCCGAAAAUCCUGAGUAGCCUAUUGCUCUUGAAAUUCUUGCUUGCUUGCAUUAUGGUUAAUCCCAUAAGUCUCAUAAUCUUAUUGGCAUCCCUUGUCAUUAUCAUUUUGAUUCCGUUGAUCCAAUAUGAUGUGAAUGCUCUCAAUCCUCAAUCAGAUCCUAGAAUUCAUCCUUCUGGCUCAGCGUCAUUUUAAACAUGAGUCGGAUCUCGACCAAUCAAAUUGCCAUCGAUUAUUCCCCUAAGCCUACUCGACUUAUCCAUCCUUAAUCAGAGCGGUUGCUUCUGAUCCCUUGAUUUGGAAAUCAUAUAUAUUUUACAUUUGAGCUUUGAAUUAGUCAGAUGUUUCUACAAUAUGAUCUCCUUGCAUUCUUUCUUCAACUGGUUGUGUGCCGAUGCUCACAUCAGCUCCGCUAUCGACCGUCAAAUCCUUUGUUGGAUUAUUAUUCGACAAUGUCCUUCAUAUUUAAUCACAUUGUGAAUUCUUCCCUGAUACAUAAUGCCAUUAGUAAAUCCUAUUCUCUUAUUUUUCCAACCAUGCUCUGCUUUCGAGCUUGUAUGAAUUACUCCUGGAGUUGUGGUAUAUGUUUCUAAGAUGCCCCGAUGGGUUGGACAUAUACCUUCCUAAAUUUUUGUGAACCCAAAAGUCUUCAUGGGUCAUAACCUUCUGGUAUUCCGCCAGUUAAACUUUCAAACUCUAAACAUUCUUAACUGAGAGCAGUAAAUGAGAAGUUGUGUAUUGGAGAAGUGGGAGUCGACCUUGAACCUUGCUUUCAUGCCCAUGGACACGAUGCUGAUCUUAUCAUGGAUGCUUCUCUUAAACCCUAUUUGGUAUAAGUUCAUCUUAUAUAUGGGAAUUGUUCUUUUGCAACCGUGGUUCUGACCAUAUUUUCUUCUUGAUUCCAUUUCUCGGACAAGUUAGAGUACUUGCCUUCUAUAGAUCAAUACGCCUGCCCAACCUCUAUUUUGAUCUGCCUUCUUGUUUUACCCCCAUGGUAUCUCGAGGAUAUAUCUUAUGAAUUUCUGAUGAAGUAGUACCUUCCCUAUCAUAGUGACUCCAUGGGUUGUGGGUUGUCGUCAACCGAGAACGUCGAUAAGUGAAUCGAUUCCGAGCUCCAAUACGAUAACUCUAAGUAAUUUCCGUUGCUUAUGUGUUUAAUAAUCCUUCAAGCCAUUCCUAUCCUGAUUGGCUAUAUCCUUAUCGUGCUAAAUUUUAACUGUGCUACCUGGUCCUUCUUUCCGGAGCACAUUUUUCGAUGAUGAGCUAAUCUUAUAAUCGAUCUUCCUCGUCAUAUCGUUUGUCCUUGAACAGCAAGCUUGAUUUCGAGUUUGUGUCGUAUCCAUGGUUCCAAUAACUUUUUGCUUCAUCAUUCCAUUGACUUGAUGUUAUCGCCGAUCGGUUACAUCUUCUCGAAACCUCUCGACAAAUGUGUCGUGAUCAUCAUCAACAUUCUGAGGUCUUCCAAGAUAUCUAUCGAAACUCCUCGUCACGUCCAUGAUCUCAUCCGGGACUCCGAACAAUCUUCGGUCAUCAAAUCACAUAACUCAUAAUACAAAUCGUCAUCGAACGUUAAGCGUGCAAACUCUACAGGUUCGAGAACUAUGUAGACAUGGCUGAGACACAUCUCCGGUCAAUAACCAAUAGCGGAACCUGGAUGCUCAUAUUGGCUCCUACAUAUUCUACGAAGAUAUUUAUCGGUCAAACUGCAUAACAACAUACGUCAUUCCCUUUGUCAUCGGUAUGUUACUUGCCCGAGAUUUGAUCAUCGGUAUCAUCAUACCUAGUUCAAUCUCGUUACCGACAAGUCUCUUUACUCAUUCCGUAAUUCAUCAUCCCGUAACUAACUCAUUAGUCACAUUGCUUGUAAGGCUUAUAGUGAUGUGCAUUACCGAGAGGGCCCAGAGAUACCUUUCCGAUACACGGAGUGACAAAUCCUAUUCUUGAUCUAUGCCAACCCAACAAACACCUUCGGAGAUACCUGUAGAGCAUCUUUAUAAUCACCCAGUUACGUUGUGACGUUUGAUAGCACAAGGUGUUCCUCCAAUAUUCGGGAGUUUCAUAAUCUCAUAGUCAGAGGAACAUGUAUAAGUCAUGAGGAAAGCAAUAGCAAUAAAACUAAACGAUCAUUAUGCUAAGCCAAUGUUGGGGAUAUCGCUUAUCGGGAACUUAUCGGCCGACCCAUGAUAAGGGGUAAAUCGACCAAUUUAUCGCCAUAUCGGCUGAUUUAUCGGCCAAUUUAUCUUAUCAGUCAGACAAUGGUAAGCGAUAAAUCGGCCAAUUUAUCGGAAUAUCGGAAGAUAUCUUGAACAGUGUGCUAAGCUAACGGAUGGGUCUUGUCCAUCACAUCAUUCUCUAAUGAUGUGAUCGAGUUCAUCAAAUGACAACACAUGUCCAUGGCUAGGAAACUUAACCAUCUUUGAUUAACGAGCUAGUCAAGUAGAGGUGUACUAGGGAUACUCUGUUUGUCUAUGUAUUCACACAUGUACUAAGUUUCCGGUUAAUACAAUUCUAGCAUGAAUAAUAAACAUUUAUCAUGAUAUAAGGAAAUAUAAAUAACAACUUUAUUAUUGCCUCUAGGGCAUAUUUCCUUCAGAGCUGGCGUACGCCUGGGCCUUGUACCACUCCGCGACGACGGCGGAGACCAGCAAGCGCCGUCUCUGCCACCUCGACGGGACGAUGGCCAAGUUUGGCGAGGAGUGGUCUCUUAGCGAGAUCGCCGGCGCCAACGCCGCCUCCUCCAGGGCCCGCUGUCGUGGUUCUAAGUCUGAUAGUAGAAUGGGGGUAGGGAUGUAGAGGCAAGAUCCUAGCUAUGGAGAAGUUGUACACACGAGUUUUACGAGUUCAGGUCCUUCUCGGAGGAAGUAACAGCCCUACGUCUCGGAGCCCGGAGGCGGUCGACUGGAUUAUAUGCGUGUGUCUUACAGGGGGUGCGAACCCUUGUCCCAGAGGAGGGGGGUGGCUUAUAUAGAGUACACCAGGACCCCAGCUCCCCUCCGUUACACAGGGUUCAAUGUUCAUAAAGAAGGAGCGUUACAGGUAAUGUCUGUAGUAAAGUGCUAUAAAUGACUAUUAAGUCUAAGGGUAAAUGCCCGACCAUUGCUGCAUAGAGUGGAUUUAGGUCUUCUGCACGUCGAGUGGUUUAGUGGUCGAGUGACCUAAAUAGGGGGGGGGGCUCUCCAAGUGAAUGGUAGGUCUAGUGGAUUGCACUCGACACCUUUGUUAGGUCCCCCUAUUUACUCUUGAACCUCUUUGCUUCUAGGAAAAGGACCUUAGGUAGGACGUAUAGGUCAGGCCUAUUACCCUACCCCAGGUCUAUGUCCUCAUCAUUAGCCCCCGAAUGGAUUGAGGCCCGAGUGAAAAGAAGGUUGAAGUUGACCUUGCUUUGACUCUUGCUGUCAUCUCCAAAUGGAUGCCAGUUGUUGGAACUUCGGCUUCGUUUCAGUCGCCUUGAUCGAUUCAGAAAUGGCCGACUGGUUUUUAUAACGUCAUCCGUCGAGUGUUAUCCUUGACAUGGAAUCUUUGGCGUGAUCGGUUGUAGAGGAUCCCGGAUUUCGCGGGAUUCGAAAUUUUGGUGGAAGCGCGCCAGGCGGAGCGCGCCGUGGUAAGCGGAGUAGAUAAAAUAGGACGUUUCGAUUUCUGCGCCACCUUUUUCGCCACGUAUCCCAUGUGCGACUGUUAAUAGAUUUGGCAGGAUCGUCCGGGCCCACGCGUCAGCCACUCGGAAGUAGGCCUUUAAAAGCGGCAAGGCCGAGGCGUCCGCACUGUGCGUGCCCAUUCUCCUUCUUCUUCCUCUUGCUCCUUUACCUCGUCCAGCUUCUCCACUCUCGACGCCGCCGCUCCGCCGCCAUGGGGAAGGAGAAAAUGGCGGCGCUGGAACGCGCGAAGAAGGCGUCGGGGGAGGCGAAAAGCAAGAAGACGAAUCGGGGAUCUUCAUCGCGCUUGGGCCUGCCGUCGGGUUGGAUCCAGGGAGAUUGGAUCCGAUCCUCACUUCGGCAGGAAGACUUGGACGAUAUGGCCGAGUUAGGGCUGAUCGUCCACAAGUCCGCGCGGCUGCCGGAGGGGGAAACGGAGCCACAACCACGACCGGGUGAGUGUGUUCUGCUCGCCACUCAUGUCGACCGCGGCUUCUCGCUUCCUCCACACCCCUUCUUUCGAGGUUUCUUGAAUUUCUUCGGGGCUCAACUCCAUCAUUUCACUCCCAACACCAUCACAUACCUUGCCGCAUUCGUGCCCAUGUGCGAGAAUUUCCUGGGGUGUCGGCCGCACUGGGGUCUUUUCAAGCACAUUUUCACCAUCCGCUCCCAAACAGUGAAGAAAGCGAACUCGAACGACGAGAAAACCCAUGUUAUCCAGAUGUGUGGGGUCUGGGUAUUCAGAAGAGGAAGAGGAGUUCCUUCCUUUGAUGACUCUUCCUGAGUCGGUCAGGGGCUGGCAGUCGACCUGGCUCUAUUGCCAGGAUAUCGUGACCCCAGGCCAGUCGACUGGACUUCCCCCUUUCUCUUUUGAUCGUGUUCAAACUCCAGCUUUGUUGACAGUGACCGCCGCGGAGAAGGCGGAGACGGGCAUGCUGGUCGAGAGAGUAGUUCAACUGAUCAAUCAAGGUGUCACCGGCAUGGAUCUGCUGGAGGUGUUCCUCAGUCGGCGCAUUCAACCACUCCAAGCUCGUGACCACUCCAUGUGGAUGUACUCCGGGGCUGGUGAUACCGCUUGGGCUCAUCCGGAGGAGGUGGCGGCCAAAACAGUGGCCCACUGGCUGAGGGGCAUCACCGGGAACAAGGACAACCCCAGGGGCGCCAGGAGAGUCAACCCUUUCAGCGACAGCAACCAGCCAGACAAGGUUUGUCCACUACAACUGAUUGAAUUUGGAUGUGUUUUCUGACUGUUUGUUGAUCUGAUUGAUUUCCACUCGGCUCCUUGUUUUGUAGAUUUAUACAGAGAUGUACUCAAUGCCCAAUGGCGAACAAGCUCUGGAGCGGGACCAUGAAGGCGAGGACAGCGCGGAGGAGAGCGGCGAGUGGGAGUCACCAGCCGACGAUGAUGAAGAUGAGAGCGAUGAGUCGGACGACGAGGAGGUAGCCGACUCACCACCUCGUUCCGAACGUCGAUCCAAGCAGCACCAUGAUCCCGCGGGCAGGUGCAGCAAGGCUGUGGCCUCGAGCACUCCAUCUCAAAAGCGCGCUCGGUCUUCGACUCCAGAAUUGGCUGAGAAGAUCACCAAGCAGCCCAAGAUCAAUCCUUCGAAGGCUCGGAAGACCUUGCCUAGAAUCAAGAUGGACGUUCCUGUUGCUUCUGGGUAAAUGUUCUCCCUGUAUUUUCUUGUUCUGACCGAUUCUCUUGUACUCACUGAGUGGAUGAUGAACCUUUACAGCCCGGCCUCGGCUGCGACUGAUAUGGAUAUCGACAAGACCCCAGACGACGAGGAAACCGAUGAUGCAGCUACCUCCAAAGCCAGUAAGUCUGCCCGACUCGAAUUUAUUUGGACGACUGGAUUGUUUGUCAGCUAUCUCUUUGACUUUCUCUGUUUGUUGCAGCACCACGGGACGUUGUUGUGCUCCCGGACGAUGAAGAAGAAGUACCGCUGAGGGGAAGGAGGAGGAGGGACAAGGAACUGAGUGGCAAAGCGCGUGAGGCCCAGGUUCCUCAGUCGACUGAGAUGCCUGGGACGGCAGUCGAGCGAUCGACAGAUCCGGCACGUACCAACGUCACUUUCGCUAUCCUGCUGUCGACUGAUUUCCCAUCAGGAUCAGCUGCUCAGACUUCUGCUGCACCAAUACAACUCCACGCAUCAGACCCAGCGGUUGCUCCGACUGCUCUGCCAUCAUUGCUUUUCACUGCGUAUCAAACCCCGGACGACCCACCGACUGCCGCCAAGGAAGCUCUUCGUCAGUUCAACCUUGUGAUGGGGCAAAUGAAACUGGUGCAUGAGGCCAGUCAGGUGGCCUUCAACGCCGGAGCUGCUCUGCAGACCAAUGUCCAGGUUAGUUGAUUUCUGAUUGAUCAUAUUUCUCAUCCGAUCACCCACUGGGGUGUGACUGUUUUGAAGUUGCAUGAGUCAAUUUGAGUCGUCUUGAAUUGAAUCUUUGAACUAGUGGGGGCACUCUUAGUGCACCCACUGGGUGUAGUCCCCGAGACCAUAGUUGACUGCAGGCAGUCGACUGUGGUCUGAGAAUCUUAAUUUUGUCACUCGGUCUGGACUGGCCAGGUCGAAUGACACUAGAACCAGUGGGGGCACGCUAAGUGCACCCACUGGGUGUAGUCCCCGAGACCGUGGUUGGCUGCAGGCAGUCGACUAUGGUCUGAGAACUGCUUUUUUUUACUCUCGCGCUGGGCAGACCAUGUCGAGUGUUUAUUCAAACCAGUGGGGGCACUCUAAGUGCACCCACUGGGUGUAGUCCCCGAGACUGUCGUUGAAUGUUUGAUUCGGCGGUAGUCUUAGAGUAGCUAUCACUGUGAUGUCCUUUUAUCUCAGUCAACUGAUAUGGCUUAUACUGUAGAAAUCUUGUGAUCUUGGGGUUCAGCUUUCCACAAUGAACAAGCAGCAAAUCAGCCUCAACCUUGAUCUAGAAUUCGCCAAGAAGAAUCUCAAGACUGCUCAUGAUGAAGUAGCUGCCAUGGGAGGUAACCAAUCGUCAACUGUCUUUCUCACUGCUGGCACUUUUCCUUUCCAUUUUUUGAACCAAGUGACUCCACUCGAGCAGAUGUAUGUAGUGAAAACCGUCAACUCCAAGCCCAUCUGAAGAAUGUUAUUUCUUUAGAGAAAAUGAAGCAGGCUUUGGAGAAGAAGGAUCUGGAUCUUGCUGCUGCACAGAAGGAAGCGCGAGAGAAAACGGCACUUGCUGACAAGAGGCUUGCUUUAGUCGGCAAGUUAGAAGAGGAGAACUCCAAACUGAAGACUGCUGUCUCUGACGCCAAUCGGGAGGUUGAGCGACUGAAGAAAGACAAGGACAAGCUACAUGACGAGCUUGGGAGCCUCAAGGCCAAGAAGGGCGAGUUGGAGUCUUAUCUGGGCCAGCUUGCUGCAAAGCUGGUCCUAAAACUUGAAGGUACUGAUGAUUGACUGACUUAUUACGGUCGACUAUCAAGCUUGAUUAUAUCGUCGACUCACCAUUUACUCAACUGUGUAGAGCUUUGCCAAGACUUUGAAGUGGAAACUGGGCGGGUCGAGACGGGUCUCGAUCCCAUAAAUUGUCCAGUCAAGGAUGAUGUUGCGAUGAAUGUGCUGCGGUUGGAAUCUCGCAUGGACAGCGCGGUUGCUUAUCUUGCUCGCCUGAAGGCAGCGAUGACUCGAGUUGAUACUGAACUCUGGCCUCAGGCGGAACUGUCUCAAGACCUCGAGCCUCUGAUGGCUUGACUGAAUCAAAUACCUGACCGAGUGCAAGAGUGGAAAAAGUCAUCUGCUCGCUGUGGCGCUGAUGUCGCGUUGUCCUUGGUCCGAGUGCACUACAAAGACGUCAUAGAAGACAAGCUGGCGAAGCUCAAGGUUGCUAACACAAAGAGGCACACCUUCCAAUCCUUCAUGGGCACUUUCCUUGACGCCGCCACUCGCAUUGCAGACAGCAUAGACCUUGACAGUUUCUGCGACCCAGCCAGUCCUUCUCCUGACGCGUGACCGAGAAACAUUAUGCUCCACCUUUAUUUGCCUCGGAAUGCCGAGUGAUUGUGUAAUCGUUAAACUUCUUCGGGCUUGAUGCUCGAAUAAUUUUGAUCCGUCGUCCGGAACUUUAGGAUUUAUCUGAACUUGGUUUAUCUCUGAAUAUGCUUGUGUUUACCUUCGAGUGGAAUUUGCUUUUCAAUUGGAAUAAUCUUUGUACUUGAGAUGCAGCUAUUGUACUUAUGGCACAGCUCCGAGGAGAAGGUUGCAGUCGACCUGCACCUCGUCGUCCUUGCGGAUAGGGAGGGAGCACACAUUGUACUUGUGGCGCAGCUCCGAAGGAGAAGGUUUCAGUCGACCUGCACCUCGUCGUCCUUGCGGAUAGGGAUGGAGCGCAUGUUGUACUUGUGGCACAGCUCCAAAGGAGAAGGUUGCAGUCGACCUGCACCUCACCAUCCUUGUGGAUAGAGAUGGAGCGCAUGUUGUACUUGUGGCGCAGCUCCGAAGGAGAAGGUUCCAGNNNNNNNNNNUAUGACGGAGAGGUAUCUCUGGGCCCACUCGGUAAUGCAUCAUCAUAAUGAGCUCAAUGUGACCAAGUGUUUGGUCACGGGAUCAUGCAUUACGGUACGAGUAAAGUGACUUGCCGGUAACGAGAUUGAACAAGGUAUUGGGAUACCGACGAUCGAAUCUCGGGCAAGUAACGUACCGAUUGACAAAGGGAAUUGUAUACGGGAUUGAUUGAAUCCUCGACAUCGUGGUUCAUCCGAUGAGAUCAUCGUGGAACAUGUGGGAGCCAACAUGGGUAUCCAGAUCCCGCUGUUGGUUAUUGACCGGAGAGUCGUCUCGGUCAUGUCUGCAUGUCUCCCGAACCCGUAGGGUCUACACACUUAAGGUUCGAUGACGCUAGAGUUGUAGAGAUAUUAGUAUGCGGUUAACCGAAAGUUGUUCGGAGUCCCGGAUGAGAUCCCGGACGUCACGAGGAGUUCCGGAAUGGUCCGGAGGUAAAGAUUUAUAUAUGGGAAGUCCUAUUUUGGCCACCGGAAAAUGUUCGGGAUUUUUCGGUAUUGUACCGGGAAGGUUCUAGAAGGUUCCAAAGUGGGGCCCACCUACAUGGGGGGACCCACAUGAACGUGGGUAGUGGGCGCAAGGCCCCACACCCCUGGUCAAGGCGCACCAAGAUCCCACCUUAGAAGGAAUAAGAUCAUAUCCCGAAGGGAUAAGAUCAAGAUCCCUAAAAAAGGGGGAUAACAAUCGGUGGGGAAGGGAAAUGAUGGGAUUUCUUUCCCCCACCUUUGCCAACGCCCCAAUGGACUUGGAGGGCAAGAAACCAGCCCCUCCACCCCUAUAUAUAGUGGGGAGGCGCAUGGGAGCAGCACCCCAAGCCUUGGCGCCUCCCUCCCUCCCGUGACACCUCUUCCUCCCCGCUUGCGCUUGGCGAAGCCCUGCCGGGAUCCCGCUACUUCCACCACCACGCCGUCGUGCUGCCGGAUCUCCAUCAACUUCUCCUCCCCCCUUGCUGGAUCAAGAAGGAGGAGACGUCCCCGCUCCGUACGUGUGUUGAACGCGGAGGUGCCGUCCGUUCGGCGCUAGGAUCAUCGGUGAUUUGGAUCACAACGAGUACGACUCCAUCAACCCCGUUCUCUUGAACGCUUCCGCUCGCGAUCUACAAGGGUAUGUAGAUGCACUCCUCCCCUCUCGUUGCUAGCAUCUCCUAGAUUGAUCUUGGUGACACGUAGGAAAAUUUUGAAUUUCUCCUACGUUCUCCAACAGGUUUCAGUCGACCUGUACCUCAUCGUCCUUGCGGAUAGGGAUGGAGCGCACGUUGUACUUGUGGCGCAGCUCCGAAGGAGAAGGUUUCAGUCGACCUGCACCUCAUCGUCCUUGCGGAUUGGGAUGGAGCGUACGUUGUACUUGUGACGCAGCUCUGAAGGAGAAGGUUUCAGUCGACCUGCACCUCGUCGUCCUUGCGGAUAGGGAUGGGUUUCAAACUUGGGCGAGUACUGGACUGCAGCUAAGCCCCCAAGUGGGAGGGUUGCUCACCACUCGGUAGGAUUUUUCAAACUUAGGCGAGUACUGGACUGCAGCUAAGCCCCCGAGUGGGAGGGUUGCUCACCACUCGGUAGGAUUUUUCAAACUUAGGCAAGUACUGGACUGCAGCUAAGCCCCGGAGUGGGAGGGUUGCUCACUACUCGGUAGGAUUUUUCAAACUUAGGCGAGNNNNNNNNNNUCACCACUCGGUAGAAUUUUUCAAACUUAGGAGAGUACUGGACUGCAGCUAAGCCCCCAAGUGAGAGGCUUGCUCAUCACUCGGUAGGAUUUUUCAAACUUAGGCGAGUACUGGACUGCAGCUAAGCCCCCGAGUGAGAGGCUUUCUCAUCACUCGGUAGGAUUUUUCAAACUUAGGCGAAACGGAUUCGCGGCUAAGCCCCCGAGUGAGAGGCUUGCUCACCACUCGGUAGGAUUUUUCAAACUUUAGGCGAAACGGAUUCGCGACAAAGUCACCCACUGGGGGAUUUCAGACGCAAACAAAAGCAACAACAACCAUUUAGGAAGACUGUAAAGCUCUUGUCUUUGAUGAACAAACUACAAAGGUAUUUCUUAUUACAUCUCAUCCGAAUGAGUACUUAAGUAUAAAAGGGGUGGAGCAGCUCCGCGUUCCAAGCCCGUGGCUCGUCUUUCUGAUGCUCGACAUUGUAAAGAUGGUAUGCUCCAUUGUGGAGAACUCUGGUGACAAUGAAGGGACCUUCCCAAGCAGGGGCGAGCUUGUGUGGUUUCUGCCGAUCCACUCGAAGAACCAAGUCUCCCUCUUGAAAGGCUCGGCCCCUCACGUUUCUGGCGUGGAAUCGACGCAAGUCUUGCUGAUAAAUGGUCGACCGGAUUAAGGCAAUCUCUCUUUCCUCCUCUAGGAGAUCGACUGCGUCCUGCCGGGCCUGUUCUGCUUCAUCUUCAGAGAAGAGCUCGACUCGGGGUGCAUUGUGAAGCAAGUCACUCGGUAGAACAGCUUCAGCUCCAUAAACCAAGAAGAAUGGAGUUCGGCCAGUCGACCGAUUGUGAGUUGUCCUCAAUCCCCAAAGAACUGAUGGAAGUUCAUCGACCCAGGCGCCUGCUGCGUGCUUGAGAUCACGCAUCAGUCGGAGUUUCAGUCCUUUGAGAAUCAAGCCAUUUGCUCUUUCUGCUUGUCCAUUCGACUGGGGGUGGGCGACUGAAACAUAGUCGACGUGUGCCUUGGGAAGCACAGAAGGCUCUGAACUCAUCAGAAUCGAAGUUCGACCCAUUGUCACUGAUGAUGCUAUGCGGAACUCCAUAUUUGAAUGUCAAUUCUCUCAUGAAGCUGACGGCAGUACUGGCUUCAAGAUUCUUGAUAGGCUUGGCUUCAAUCCAUUUGGUAAACUUGUCGACUGCUACAAGCACAUGAGUGAAGCCGCUCCUACCAGUCCUCAGGGUCCAACCAUAUCCAAUCCCCAAACAGUAAAGGACCAGACGAGUGGAAUAGUCUUCAGGGCUGACGCAGGCUUGUGGGACAUAAUGGAGUAAAACUGGCAGCCUUCACAUUUGUCGACUAUAUCUUUCACCAUUUCAUUUGCUCAUGGCCAAUAAAAUCAAGCUCGGUAUGCUUUGGCCACAAUGGUCCGAGAGGACGCAUGGUGACCACAGGUCCUCGAGUGGAUGUCGUUGAGGAUCACUCGACCUUCUUCUGGUGUUAUGCAUUUCUGGCUGACUCCGGUUACGCUUUCCCUGAACAGUUGUCCUCUUAUCACAGUAAAGGCUUUGGAUCGACGGACGAUCUGUCGAGCCUCUUCUUCAUCCUCUGGGAGUUCCUUCCUAAGGAUAUACGCAAUGUAUGAAACUGUCCAGUCGGGAGUGACGACCAAAACCUCCAUGAUCAGGUCGACCACGGCUGGGACUUCGACUUUAGUCGGAUCUGUGGCACUCUUAGGCUGCGGGGGCUCUUCAGUGAAAGGAUCUUCUUGAACUGAAGGUGUAUGAAUGUGUUCCAAAAACACGUUGCUGGGAAUGGCUUCCCUCUUGGAACCUAACUUUGCCAAAUCAUCGGCUGCUUGAUUUUUCAGUCGGGGUAUAUGAUGGAGCUCUAACCCCUCAAACUUCUUUUCCAACUUCCUCACCGCAUUGCAGUAACCAGUCAUAGCUGGGCGUCUGACAUCCCACUCCUUCAUCACUUGAUUGACUACCAAAUCUGAGUCGCCGUAGACCAUGAGGCGACGGACGCCGAGUGAGAUGGCCAUACGUAACCCAUAUAAGAGUGCUUCAUAUUCCGCUUCGUUAUUGGAGGAAUCAAAGUGAAUCUGGAGAACAUAUCUGAGCUUAUCUCCUCGGGGGGAUACCAGUACCACCCCAGCACCGGAACCAUUCAGCAUCUUGGAACCAUCAAAGAACAUGGUCCAGUGCUCCGAGUGGACUUGAGUCGGCAGUUGCUGUUUGAUCCACUCGGCGAGGAAAUCUGCUAUUGCUUGGGACUUGAUAGCUUUCUUUGCCUCAAACUUAAUAUCCAAGGGAAGGAGUUCAAUCGCCCACUUUGCCACUCGACCAGUUGCAUCUCUGUUGUUCAGAAUCUUUGAUAAUGGAGCAUCGCUGACGACUGUAAUGGAGUGGUCAGAGAAAUAAUGUGCAACCUUCUUCGUGGUCAUAUAAAUCCCAUAAACAAGCUUCUGAUAAUGUGGAUAUCUUUGCUUUGAUGGAGUCAAAACUUCAGAAACAUAAUAUACUGGGCGCUGAACUUUACAGGCUUUUCCUUCUUCUUCCCGCUCGACCGUAAGUACUAUACUGACGACUUGUCCAGUGGCUGCAAUGUAAAGCAGUAAAGGCUCUUCGCUGAUUGGGGCAGCAAGCACCCACCGGGAGCACCGGCUGGGUGGAAAGCAGGGCUUUGAGCUCUGCAAAUGCUGCAUCAGCUUCAGGAGUCCACUCGAACUUAUCAUACUUCUUCAUCAGUCGGUAAAGAGGCAAUGCCUUUUCACCAAGGCGAGAAAUGAAUCAAGUUAAGGCGGCCAAACAACCUGUAAGCUUCUGGACAUCGUGCACACGCACAGGGCAUUUUAUUCGGAGAUGGCACCAACUUUCUCUGGGCUAGCCUCGAUCCCCUGUUCGAAAACGAGGAAGUCGAGUAAUUUUCCGCCCGGAACUCCGAAUGUGCACUUUGAUGGGUUAAGCUUGAUAUCAUACCUUCUGAGGUUGGCAAAAGUUUCAGCAAGGUCAGCCAACAGGUCGGAACCUUUACGUGACUUGACCACAAUGUCAACCAUGUAUGCUUCCACAUUCCGACUGAUUUGAGUGAGUAAACACUUCUGAAUCAUCCUCAUGAAUGCGGCUCCAGCAUUGUUCAGGCCGAAUGGCAUGGUGACAUAACAGAAGCACCCAAAUGGAGUGAUGAAAGCUGUUUUUAUCUCAUCGGGUCCAUACAGUCGGAUCUGAUGAUACCCGGAAUAGGCGUCCAAAAAGGACAAGCGCUCACACCCUCAUUCGAGUCGACUAUUUGAUCGAUGCGGGGGAGAGGAAAGUGAUUUUUCGGGCAGGCCCGAUUGAUAUGCUUGAAGUCAAUGCACAUGCGAAGUGAGUCGUCCUUCUUGGGGACCAUGACAACAUUGGCUAGCCACUCGGAGUGGUAAAUCUCUCGGAUAAACUCAGCUGCUAGGAGCCGAGCCACUUCUUCACCGAUUGCUUUUCUCUUCUGUACGGCGGACCGUCGAAGAUGUUCUUUGACUGGUUUCACUUUUGGGUCGACUCGCAAACAGUGCUCGGUCAGCCCCCUGGGAACACCCGGCAUGUCAGAAGGUUUCCAUGCAAAGAUGUUCCAGUUCUCACGGAGGAACUGGAUGAGCGAUUCUUCCUAUUUGGAGUCGAGUGUUGUCGAAAUGUGAGUCGGAGCAGCAUUGGGAUCGGUCGGGUGAAUAUGAACCGGCUUCGUUUCACCAGACGACUGAAAUGCUGAAUCCGUGGCAGGCUUCUUAGCUCACAACAAAUCACUCGGAUCUGCAUUCUUUUGAUAUUCCUGCAAUUCCACUACUGCCAUUUGCGCAUCGGCGAUCUUUGAGCCCUUCUGGAAGCACUCUUCUGCCUUCUUCCGAUUGCCAGUGAUAGUGAUCACUCCUUUAGGACCAGGCAUCUUCAAUUUGAGGUAAACGUAACAUGGUCGAGCCAUGAAACGUGCAUAAGCCGGACUGCCCAGAAUAGCAUGAUAAGCACUCUGGAAAUCCACAACUUCAAACGUCAACUUUUCUUUGCGGUAAUUCUUGGAAUCACCGAAAACCACAUCGAGGGCGAUCUGGCCGAGUGACUCAGCCUUCUUGCCAGGAAUAACUCCAUGGAAACUCAUAUUGCUUUCAUUGAGUCUAGACAUCGGAAUGCCCAUUCCUUUCAAGGUCUCUGCAUACAGUAUAUUAAGGCCACUGCCACCAUCCAUCAAAACCUUAGUCAACCGAGUGCCUUCGACGACUGGGUCGACCACCAACGCUUGCCUCCCAGGGGUGGCUAUGUGUGUCGGGUGAUCAGACUGGUCGAAUGUAAUGGCAGUCUGAGACCAUUUCAAAUAACUGGGCGUCGCCGGAGCGACCAUGUUCACUUCUCUGAUGAUGACUUUCAGUCGACUCUUGCUCUCAACAUCAGCAAAAAUCAUCAGAGUGGAAUUGACGUGGGGGUAACCAUCAUCGUCCUCUUCCUUAUCCUCAACUUUGUUCGAUUCUUUCUCCUUCUCUUUGGGUUGUUUCUCUCGGAACUGCUGGAUUAGGAGCCGACAUUGUCGAGUGGCAUGUUUCAGGUAAAUGAGAUUACCCUCCUCAUCUUUUUUGGUGUGAAUGUGGCAUGGUAAAUCCAACACAUCAUUUCCAUCUUGAUCUUUUACUUUCUUGGGGUUCCAUGGCCCUUUGGGCUUCCCCUUGAACUUUCUUUGAGUCACGGCUAAGGCUUCUCUGGGAGCAGCUGGCUCGGCUUUACGCUUCUGCUUCCGACUGGAGUUCCCUCCCCCGGUUUCGUGGGCGACUGUUUUAUGCUUGCCACUCCGGAGCCGAUCCUCCUCUUCACCAUUAGCAUACUUUGUGGCAAUUUCCAUCAUUCGACUCAGAGACAUAUCUCAUGUCCGACCGAACUUCAGAUUCAAUUCUCGAUACUUGACGCCUUCCUUGAAGGCACAAACUGCUUGGUGAUCAGACACAUUCUCCACCGUGUGGUGCAACAUGAUCCAUCUCUGGAUAUAAUCUCUCAAAGUUUCAUUCGACUUCUGCGCACAAGACUGUAGCUCUGUUAGCCCUGCUGGCCGUUUGCAUGUACCUUCAAAUGUUCUGACAAACACUCGGGCAAGCUCUUCCCAGCUAUAAAUACUGCCAGGUGCUAACUGAUUCAACCACGCUCUGGCCGAGCCUUCUAACAGCAGAGGAAGGUGCUUCAUGGCCACUUCAUCAUUGCCACCACCAAUCUGCACAGCCACUUGGUAGUCCUCAAGCCAAGUGUUAGGCUUGGACUCACCAGUGAACUUGCUGACUCCAGUCACCAACCUAAAGUUGGGAGGAAUCAUUGCUGCUCUGAUGGCUCUGCUGAAACACUCGGGACUUGAAACAUGCACCCUGCUGCCGGUCGGGUAAUCUCUAUCGUGGCCAUCUCUGUGUGCUCUGUUCCUGUCAACCAGACCUUGAACGAGAAUGGAUCUCCCGUCAAAGCCCGGCUCCCGGGGGUCGAUUGGAAUCCUUCGCCCACCACUGUGAGGGCGUCUGUCAUCGUGUUGCCGAGGCGCGUAUGACCCACUCCUUGGGGGAGGCGUGGGUACUCGACGACGAUCAUACUGCUCACGGUUUCUGUACUGAUCCUAUCGAUCUCCACGUCCCUCACGCCUUGGAGGUGAUCUUGGGCUGUGAGCCAACUGAACUGUGUCUGCCAUUACAGAUCUACUAUGAAUCCUAUUCCGAGACUGUGACACUGCUGUGUUCUGCUCCCCCGCCGCCCAGAGCAAAGCCCGGAUCUGCAUCAAACCUCUACCAGCCUCCAACUGGGAAGGCUGAAUCGACUCUGCUUUUCGGGCAGCAGCUGUGAGAUUCUGGAUCGGAGUUCGAUAUACCUGGGUUGGAGGCGGAAAAAGUUGUCGUCGACUGGAUUCAGGAACUCGCUGUCGAGCACGCUCGUCGAGUGCGUGCUGGAGAUUCUCCAGUCGAGUGCGCUCAGCCAAGUUGGCCAGGCGCGCCUCCUCCAAGGCCCGGGCCUCGGGGGUUUCUCCAACGAUAGGAGAGUGAAGUGCAUCCAUGUUACGGCGGCGAAGCUCUUCCCUCUGCUACGAAGAGAGGGGCUCGGGCCGGUACUCCUCGUGGACACACGACGGAUCGCCUCCGCCAUCACCACCGUCAUCGCGGGGGAAGCCAGGAGGACUGAGUGGUCCGUUGACCAUUAGGACUUCCGCCGCGGGGUCACUGCUGUCGCACUCGGAUGCGGUCUCAACGAAGCCAGUCGAACAGGCUGUAGAGAGUUUCGUCGGGCUCGAUUGCCGCGACUUGGGGGGUGGCCGACUGGCAAGCCACCGCAUGCCUCACCCACCGCUGGAGCCUCGACCGACCGGAACGCUUGUGCCGGCGAGCAGCAGGGAGUGAAGACGCCAUAGGAGCCGACCGAUACUGGGUCGACGGUUGCCGCAGGAGGACGCCGCGGACGCACACGCGAAAGUGCAUUGCCCCGCGGACGGGGAGCGCCUCGACGUCGAGUGGAGCUUCUUGGAGCCAAGCGGAGUCGUCGGUGACGAACACGAGCGCGCCGAGACGGAUCUCGCGGCCCUCGGCUAAUCCUCCGCCUGAAACCAUGCUGAUGGGGAUCGGAAAAAUUGCAACUUCUCCAACAAGUCGCUAAGACACCUGCCCCACGGUGGGCACCAACUGUCGUGGUUCUAAGUCUGACAGUAGAAUGGGGGGUAGGGAUGUAGAGGCAAGAUCCUAGCUAUGGAGAAGUUGUAUGCACGAGUUUUACGAGUUCAGGCCCUUCUCGGAGGAAGUAACAGCCCUACGUCUCGGAGCCCGGAGGCGGUCGACUGGAUUAUAUGCGUGUGUGUUACAGGGGGUGCGAACCCUUGUCCCAGAGGAGGGGGUGGCUUAUAUAGAGUGCGCCAGGACCCCAGCUCCCCUCCGUUACACAGGGUUCAAUGUUCAUAAAGAAGGAGCAUUACAGGUAACGUCUGUAGUAAAGUGCUAUAAUGACUAUUAAGUCUAAGGGUAAAUGCCCGACCGUUGCUGCGCGGAGUGGCUUUAGGUCUUCUGCACGUCGAGUGGUUUAGUGGUCGAGUGACCUAAAUAAGGGGGGGUCUCCGAGUAAAUGGUAGGUCGAGUGGAUUGCACUCGACACCUUUGUUGGGUCCCCCCCUAUUUACUCUUGAACCUCUUUGCUUCUAGGACAAGGACCUUAGGUAGGACGUAUAGGUCAGGCCUAUUACCCUACCCCAGGNNNNNNNNNNNNNNNNNNNNNNNNNNNNNNNNNNNNNNNNNNNNNNNNNNNNNNNNNNNNNNNNNNNNNNNNNNNNNNNNNNNNNNNNNNNNNNNNNNNNNNNNNNNNNNNNNNNNNNNNNNNNNNNNNNNNNNNNNNNNNNNNNNNNNNNNNNNNNNNNNNNNNNNNNNNNNNNNNNNGCACUGCGCACGGCUUAGGAGGAAGCAUAGAGAAUCAUCCGCGAGCAUUAGGCGGCUGCCGGGAAGCCCUGGCGCAACACUGCCCCCUUUCAUCUUCCAAAGCCCGACGACUCUGACGACGACUCCGACACCGGUUCCGACGAUGAUGACGGAGGAGCCACCGGCGAGCCUGACAUGGCCUACGAGGUCACCGUCAAGUAUAGGGUAGUUUAAGUUUUUAGUUCACCGGACGAAAUAUCGUCUAUUUUUAUGUUAAAAUUAUCCUAAUUUAAAUGAAUAUCGUCCGGUUUGUUUGAGUUUGAAUCAAAUUUGUUCAUUUUUGUUAAAAUUCAUUUGAAAUGUAAAGCAGAGAUAUGCGGCUAGCUUUGGAUGACCGGCUCCGACAUCAGAGUUAGCGGACUAGUUUCACCCUGUUCGCAGACAGAUGCCAGAGCAAAUUUGAGGAUCAGUUUUGGAGAUGCCCUGAGUUAUCUUUAGGUAGAAGAAGCUUGCGGAAGAUGUUCGAAGCUACGUCGAUACUUUUUCUUUCUUUCUGAAGAAACGCAGGAGAGCUGCGAAUUCAGGGAAAGCUGCAUUGAUACUGACAAUACUAUUUGGAGGAUAGCAUCAAGAGCACCCUUUCCCAAACAUUGCAAAAGUAGACAAGAGUGCAAGUGCAUGCUUGGAUAGUUGGAUUGAGCUUUACUCAAGGCUCCAAGCUAACCAAAUGGAUAUAUGGGGUCGCCACAUAUAUUCUCCAAGGCGGCUAGACUCAUUCUUACGAAUUCCAGUUUGUCUUCCUUGCCAAUGUUUGCCAUGGGUUUGUUUCUUCUCGCAGAAGGGGUUCAUGCGAAGUUCGACACGCCCCGAGCCAAGUUCUUUUGGGAAGGAACCAGCCCAAACCGUAAAUAUCAUAUGGUUAAAUGGGCUUCGGUGUGUCGGCCCAAGGCCUUGGGGGGCCUCGGGAUCACCAAUUCCAGACUCUUAAACAUCGCCUUGAUGUGUAAGUGGAUUUGGAAAAUUGCUCAAGGUGCUUCAGGCCUCUGGGCUGAUCUCCUCAAGGCCAAGUACUUUCCAGGAGGAAAUUUUUUCGAAGGGCGGGCACGGGGCUCGCCCUUCUGGAACAACUUGCAGUCGGUCAAACCGGCGUUCGCCAUGGGGGCGAAAUUUUCGAUUGGGAACGGACGCUCGACCCGUUUCUGGUCGGAUAGGUGGCUGGGAGCCCAACCUUUAUGGAUGGAAUUCCGGGAUUUGUACGAGCUGGCCGUCGAUCCAUCCAUCACGGUGGCGGCUGCGCUAGCGGCUAGUCCUCCCGUGAUCUAUUUUAAACGAGAACUAAACGGGUUAGAGCAGUCCAACCUCUUGGCCCUGAUGCACCUUAUUAACCCGAUCACCCUUGCGGACGAACCAGAUACGGUCAGCUGGGCGCUCACCAGUUCGGGCUAGUUCACGGUUAACUCUCUAUACCGUAGGUUGUGUCGAGGGACGGCACAGCAGGCGAUCGCGGGGCUAUGGAAAGCGCAGUUGCCCUUGAAGAUCAAACUCUUCAUGUGGCAAUUGUUUCGCGAUAAGUUGCCGACCUCCUUAAAUGUGGCCAAACGCAAUGGGCCGGCCACUGGCCCUUGCGCGUUGUGUGGGGAGCCUGAGGACGCCAGCCAUGUGUUCUUCAGAUGUCCCCUUGCUAGAUUUGCUUGGAGCGCGGUCCGGUCCGCGGCUGGUGUUCAGUGGGAUCCCAGAUCGGCCGCAGAGCUUACUCACCUUUUAGAUGCGAUUCACGGGAGUGCUAAACGGGUGAUGUGGAGAUGUGUCGGGGCACUUCUCUGGUCUAUAUGGCUUACUAGAAACAAAUUUAGUAUUGAGGGUUGCUUUCCUUCGCAUCCGGCUAACAUCCUCUUCAAAUGCAACCUUCUAUUGCAGCAGUGGAGUCCGUUGGGGAGGCGCAGGGAUACUGAGUUGAUCAACACCGCUCAACAACGUUUGCUGCAAGUUUACGUGAUGGCUAGGGAGCCUUGACUAUGGUGCAGUCCAUGGUCCCUUUUGUUGCUUGCCGAGCCUGCGUGCUCUGUACGGGCUAUGCCCUGUAAUGUGUCUUCGGUUCGGUUGAGUCGCGCAUGAAACUUCCGAUGAUCCUUUUGCGUUGGCCGGAUAGGUCUGUGGGGUUGUAUUAUGACUUGUUCACGCUGCCGUUGUGGCUUUAUUAAUUUAAAGUCGGACGCGUCCGUACGUCUUCGUUUUAAA